AAAAACUGAUAUAAAUUGCUUUUCAAUUGUAGAGAAAGAGUGCUCAUAACCCCUAUGGGUUAUGUCAAAAUGGAAUUCAAACUAGGGAAAUUUGCUCUAAUCAAGAAGAUAAAUUGUCACCAAAGAAACAAGCAAGACUUAAAAACAUUCAAGAAGGAAAACAAAGAAUGCACCGCAUAUCACACAUUAUAUGGAUUAAGUGUUGAAGAGAACAUGAAUUGUUGAGUAUUUCGAGCCUGAUGAUCUUGCAUUACAGAAUUGGUAAUUCAGAUCUUGAAAAUUAAUAGGAUAAAAUCAAUGCAAGAAAAUUGAGUGUGUGUUCAUGGAAUAAUUAUCUCUGUCAUAUGAUCGUAGGAACUACAUAGUCAUUAACUUCAAAUAAUGAGUAUGUUUAGAGAUACAUUAACAGAUGCAAGUGAGUUGAACAUAUUUAACGCAAGACUUAACUUUGCCAAGUCUGAUUUAACUGAAGUUGCCAAGAGAGUUAAACAUAAUACAUAUUAUGAAUAAAUAAAUAAUUAUUUUUAUAGGC